GAUCUUUUUGCUAAACAAAAUCUAGAGCACUUCCGAGCAAUCAUAGUAGAAGUCAAUUCUUAGGGGAAAGUAGGUCAUGAUGAAUAAAAAUUGACCAAAUUAAUCAGAUUUUAAAAAAUACCCAAGAAAGCCAGACUGACUUUUUAAAAGGAGCUAUCUAUCUCCUAAGAAAUCUAUCUAGACUACGACUCUGCAGUGGGUGUUAUAUUUAAUGGCAAACUAUAAAACUCUUCUUGUUUAAAAUUAGAAACACAGUAAAAAUGCCCACCGUCUCUUCGAUUCAACAUCCCACGGAAGGCCCCUACCAGAAUAGUGAGAUAAAAUGUAUUUAGGGACUUUAGAGGUAAGCAAAACAUAUAAAAAUUGUACAAUGUGCAUCCAAUAUGACCAUCCACAUGGAAAAACCUAGUCAACCAAUUAGUGCAGUGAGUGAGUGCUGUGAGUGAGUGCUGAACUCACAGCUUCUCUGGAGACAAACUUAAUACACUUUUUAAGGGGGCAGCUAAUAUGUUCCAUCCAGGGAAAGUAUUUCUCAUCUGUAGAGUGUGUUAUUAUGUGUGCAGACUACAACUGAUCUUUUCCUGAUGCAUCCAUAGACUGCCCAAGCUUUUGUCCUUAUAAACUACUAUGAACAUCAUUUUUUUUGUUUUGUUUUGUUUUUGCUGUUUUAUUUUGAGACAGAGUCAUAUAUAGCUAGAUCUACCUGUAACUUUCCACGUAGCCCAAACGUUCUUCAAACUUGUGGCCUUCUAUCUUGUCUCUGUCUCUCAUGCUCUGUGUGAAUGUGCAAAUACCCAGGUAUUUGAUUUGUCCACUUUUUUGAAGCAGAAGCUGAGACAAAGGUAUUUAGCUCUAGCAACAUCAAGACUCAUCUAGGGAUGUUUCUAUGCAUACUAACAGUUUCUAAGUUAUGCCCUGAAAACGCGUGAGCAGACGGUAAGAGCAGGCUGAACAGUAUCCAAAUGGUUACAGAAAUGAUGUUAAGGAGACAACAGAAUGUUGUCCAGCUUCUUGCAACUUAGCAGUGAAGCCAAGUUCAUCUCCAACCCUUACUGUGUGAUUAAUUCCGGAGGGUGUCCAAAAGAUAUAUGGAGCUGGAGACUACAACUAUUCAACUGUUCACAGUUCUCCUUGGUUCAUCUGAGGCUCAAUUUACCAGCUUCUUUUCUGUGGCAGCUUUCUAUCUUUCCAUGUAAUCCUUUAUAUAUUUAUUAUGAGAACCAAUUUUUUAUCCUCUAAUGAGAAAGAGAUUGAAUAGUGAUAGGACUUGUUGAUUGGGGAGACAGAGAAGUGAACUUCUACUCUGUUAAGAAGUUGUUUUGCUGGCACAGGAGCACAGCCUCCAGCAACUGUUCUUUUCCUCCUCCAGCCCAGACUUGCAGGAGCUUGUAAUCCUGCAUCACUCCUGCCCCGCUGGGACUCUGUUCUCCAUGCACUUUGCUCCACCAAUUAUAAGAUGCAAUCAGCAAGGAUAGUUUCCCAGGGAAGCAUCUCUCUCCUCUCUGGAAGGAAGACAGCCCGUUGGCUGAGCCAGGCAUCUGAUGGAUUCAGUCUGACUUGUUUUCAUUGAGUGGAUUAAUGAACUUCUGGACCAGACCCUUGAGGCAAGAAGAUACACAUCUUUGGUCAGGAUCUUGAGGCAGGAAGACACACCAUUAGUAUAUGCCAAGCCUUCUACUGGAAGCCUAUAUAAGAACAUAGAAGAUGGAAGCAUUUGCUCUUUGCCUCAUUGCCCUCACCUUGCUAGCACAUCCAUUUCUUCACUGGCAUUGGAGCCUACUUCUUCAGGAGACCAGCUGAGACACCCAGCCUUGUGGACUAAGCAACUACUAGAUUCUUGGACUUUCACAGCCAGCUGUUGGUGGAUUAGCAAGACUACAGACUGUAAAUUAUUACAAUGAAUCUCUCAUAUAUAUAUAUAUACAUAUAUAUAUAUAUACAUAUAUAUAUAUAUAUAUAUUGAAGAUGCCCCAGUCCUCUCCAGUUUGGCCCUGUCCCCCAAGCCUUCCACUGCCAUCUGCAUAAGCUUCUACUACUUCCCAUCUUCUCCACACUGGGAAGUUCUUACAGAUGCAUCCUAUACUUGGUUCCUCACCACCCUCCAUUGAUUAUCAUCAUUUCCCCUUGUAGCUCUGUCUUCUCCCUUCCUGGACCUCUUAUGUUAGGCCUUUCCGUGGCUAGUAUGACACUAGCAGAGAGAGGAUGCUCGAGUAACAGAAGAAGAAAAGUUCUUAAGACCAUUUUACAAGAAUUUCACCAAACAGAUGUGUGCCUUUCUUCGAAGAGUUCUGGAGAAGCCACCUGGGUUAAUUGCUGGGGUCCCAGUGGCUUACACUCCUAGACAUGUUGAAUAGAGGAAACACGGUCUCUCUAGAGACAGAAAUCAGUAAGAUGAACAGAGAGGGAGAGAGGAAGCCAGGCAUAGAUAAUCAUUGGUCUGGGUGGGAAGAAUUCCCAUGGGAAGCUUUUGAGACCUGUCUACAAAAUUGUUCACCAAGGAGAUUAGCAAAAAGGCCCAUGUGGCUUAAAACAGUAGUUUACUAAUUAAAUCACCCAGGGACUGUUAAAAAUCUCUGUGCUGAGGCAGCAUCCAGACAUAUUAGGUCAGAAUGGCUAAAUGGACUCAGACACUGGUGUAUUCACAGCCAUUGACCCAGCCAUCUUUGGUGGGAGAGAGCACUCGGAACCAGAGUCACACCCAAUAUAAUCCUAUUUAGUUUCCUCUUCUUAGAGAAUGUAGUCUAGAGUCUUCUAAUGGAUGUAAAGCAAGGGAGAAGGCUUAAUUCUGUGUGCAUAUAUUCUGUGUUUCAUCUUUAUGUAGAUCUUAGUCACCUCAGCAUGUGAUUUGUUUUCUGUAUCAAAAAUGCUCAUUUUUUUAACAAUAGUACUUUAAAGCUUCUUGACAGCAUGUCUGAAGUUUUAGCAUCAUUGCUCUUUUGCUUCAAGGUCAUUGUUAAGUCAAAUAAGGAUUACAUGAACCUACUAUAUUGCUGAGGGAGUAGGUUUUAUAACCAAGAUAGCUGCUAAGUGGUGGGUGAUGUAUACAAUAUAGAUAUGCCAGACGAAAGACCAGUUCACCUCCAAAGGGAAUGUGUUGAGAGUCUGUCUCGGCACGCAAUGGCACCAACUUGAAAAUUACCUACUGUAUACUUUGGAACAUUUUCCAAUUAAUAAUUUUGGACAAUAACUAAUCAUAAGUAAUGACAAACAUGGAAAACAAAAUGCAGAGGAGGGGCCACUGUAUUAUAACACAAAACAAACCAUUCCCUCCCCCUGCUGGGGGAAGGUACCCUUCAGUUGUUCUGAAGCCAAGAGUACUAUAUGUAUCCCUCCUCUUUUCUCUCAUUAAAAAGCUAUUAUUAAUGACUU